UACGAGGGGGCUAGCGUUGCUCGGAAUCACUGGGCGUAAAGGGUGCGUAGGCGGGUCUUUAAGUCAGGGGUGAAAUCCUGGAGCUCAACUCCAGAACUGCCUUUGAUACUGAGGAUCUUGAGUUCGGGAGAGGUGAGUGGAACUGCGAGUGUAGAGGUGAAAUUCGUAGAUAUUCGCAAGAACACCAGUGGCGAAGGCGGCUCACUGGCCCGAUACUGACGCUGAGGCACGAAAGCGUGGGGAG
rnacentral:rRNA from 1 species